rnacentral:rRNA from 1 species
GACGAACGCUGGCGGCGUGCUUAACACAUGCAAGUCGAACGGAAAGGCCCCGUUUUUGUGGGUUGCUCGAGUGGCGAACGGGUGAGUAACACGUGAGUUACCUUCCCUUGACUUUGGGAUUACUUCAGGAAAGUGGGGUUACUACCGGAUAGGAGCUCCGGCUGCAUGGUGGUGGUAGGAAUGUUUCGGCGGUUGGGGAUGGACUGGCGGCUUGUCAGCUUGUGGGGGGGGGAGUGGCUUACCAAGGCUUUGAUGGGCAGCCGGCCUGAGAGGGUGACCGGCAACAUUGGGACUGGAAUAGGGCCAGGCCUCCACGGGGGGGCGGCAGGGGGGAAUAUUGACCAAUGGGCGGAAGCCUAAUGAGGAACGCCCGCGUGCGGAAUGACGGCCUUGGGGUUGUAACCCGCUUUAGCCGGUGCCGAGGCGUGAGUGACGGUAAUGGGUGAAGAAGCACCGGCUAACUACGUG